ACAGACCUGAGGAGCAGGAGAGA
rnacentral:piRNA from 1 species